rnacentral:lncRNA from 1 species
CGAGAAUUAGAUGAAGAAUAAGACUAGUGGAAAGACCAGAGAGAGAUACAGGCCUUUCAAUGGAAGCUAUUACAUGAGUGAGAACUCCUCAGUCAUAGCUCUUGAAGAACGAUGAUCACCAUCACUAGCAGUCACGUAUGAAGAUCGAACACUCUCUUGACCUCCACCAGCAUCUCUAUCAACCUCUUCUAUUCGAUCAACAGCCUCAUGAAGCUCAAUUCUCUUCUCAAUAUCCCAAUCACAACAUCUCAACCCGAUCUUAAGCAGCUUCAACAUUUGUGCUUCGUGCUCUUUCCCUGCUUUCAUCUCCUUAUCAAACACAUCAGCAGUCCACUCGGUUCUCGCUACAGACUCAACCCAAGCAGCUAACUCAUCAUCAGCUCCUUUCCCUUGCCUGAGAUAAUUCGCCGGAAACUUCCCUGUCAGAAUCUCAAGAAUCAAGAUUCCCAGGCUCCACACAUCUGAUCUUCUCGAAGUCCUAUCCUGCUGAGUGAACUCAGGUGCCUUGUAAGCCACCAUGAACUGCUGUGAUUGAUCUCUGUUAACAACCGGGACAAGAGCGUAGUCCGUAAGUAGAGGCUCGAAGUUAGGAUCAAGCAACACAUUGGAAGACUUGAGAUGGCCAUGAGGAAGAUUCAAAUCAGGGAACACUCUAUAGAGAUAAGCCAAUCCUCUCGUAACUCCUCUUACAAUCUUCAAUCGAAUCGGCCAAUCCAAAACCACUUGACCUGGUGUUCGGUUAGCUGCAAAAUCAAUCCAACAAAACUCAUCAGAUUCCUCAUUUCAUUGGAUGAAGAUAAACAGACACUUAGAGAGUUCCAUAAUAUUACCAUGGAGGAGAUUAGCGAGGCUUCCAUUGGAAAUGUAAUUGGUAACGAGAAGCUUCUCUUCUUUUCUGUAAUAGAAUGCAAUCAACGGAAGGAGAUUAGGGUGAGACAAUCGUCCGAUCUUCUUCAUAUGAUCGUAAAACUCUUCUCUCCCGAUAUUACUCAUAAACCUAAACCGUUUCACAACCACCGCACGACCACUCGAUAAAGCCGCUUUGUACGAAGAUCCAAAUCCGCCGCUUCCGAGAACCUCCGCCGAUGCACGGAGCAUAUCCUGAAGCGUGAACCUCUCCUGAUCAUUCCUAACGAAAUGUAGCUUCCGUUGAUCUCCUCGUUUGUCUUCAUCUGGAGAGAGACCUCCCACGGAUAUAGCUCCUGAUGUUGCUGUUGAAUCUCGCUGCACAGUUUCAUUAGCUAGUUUUCUGUAGACCUUGGAGUCCUGUGAGCUCUUUUCACUGUGUUGUUGUUGCUCGGGUUGUCCGUAGACUUGUCCGUGAAAAUGGCCGACGCCGUGGUUUUGGAUUUGGUCUUGUCCUUUGCCUUGACGGCGGCUGAGAAUGCAAACGGAAAGAAAGACGGUAAUGAGCACUACGACGGCGAGGAUGGUGAGGGCAAGGAGAAACACGGUGAAGAACGGCGGACGAGUGUAUCUGCACGGAAGCAAUGGCGCUCCACACAGCCCCUUGUUACCUGUUUUAAGGCCCAAACGAAUUAUUUAAUUAACAUCAUACAUGGCCCAUUUAUCAAUAGGCCCACUAAUAAUCAUUUCAAAGAGAGUAUUUUCCACAAAUAUUUUGUCAAAAGAAGAAAUAAAAUUUCAUAUUGUAACUUUUACAUGCAAACAU